rnacentral:rRNA from 1 species
GAUGAACGCUGGCGGCGUGCCUAAUACAUGCAAGUCGAGCGAACAGAUAAGGAGCUUGCUCCUUUGAAGUUAGCGGCGGACGGGUGAGUAACACGUGGGUAACCUACCUAUAAGACUGGGAUAACUUCGGGAAACCGGAGCUAAUACCGGAUAACAUUUAGAACCGCAUGGUUCUAAAGUGAAAGAUGGUUUUGCUAUCACUUAUAGAUGGACCCGCGCCGUAUUAGCUAGUUGGUAAGGUAACGGCUUACCAAGGCGACGAUACGUAGCCGACCUGAGAGGGUGAUCGGCCACACUGGAACUGAGACACGGUCCACACUCCUACGGGAGGCAGCAGUAGGGAAUCUUCCGCAAUGGGCGAAAGCCUGACGGAGCAACGCCGCGUGAGUGAUGAAGGGUUUCGGCUCGUAAAACUCUGUUAUUAGGGAAGAACAAAUGUGUAAGUAACUGUGCACAUCUUGACGGUACCUAAUCAGAAAGCCACGGCUAACUACGUGCCUUCAGCCGCGGAAAUACUUAUGUGGGAAGCGUUAUCCGGAAUAUGGGCGUAAGCGCGCGUAGCGGUUUCUUAGUCUGAUGUGAAAGCCCACGGCUCAACCUUGGAGGGUCAUUGGAAACUGGGAAACUUGAGUGCAGAAGAGGAAAGUGGAAUUCCAUGUGUAGCGGUGAAAUGCGCAGAGAUAUGGAGGAACACCAGUGGCGAAGGCGACUUUCUGGUCUGUAACUGACGCUGAUGUGCGAAAGCGUGGGGAUCAAACAGGAUUAGAUACCCUGGUAGUCCACCCCGUAAACGAUGAGUGCUAAGUGUUAGGGGGUUUCCGCCCCUUAGUGCUGCAGCUAACGCAUUAAGCACUCCGCCUGGGGAGUACGACCGCAAGGUUGAAACUCAAAGGAAUUGACGGGGACCCGCACAAGCGGUGGAGCAUGUGGUUUAAUUCGAAGCAACGCGAAGAACCUUACCAAAUCUUGACAUCCUUUGAAAACUCUAGAGAUAGAGCCUUCCCCUUCGGGGGACAAAGUGACAGGUGGUGCAUGGUUGUCGUCAGCUCGUGUCGUGAGAUGUUGGGUUAAGUCCCGCAACGAGCGCAACCCUUAAGCUUAGUUGCCAUCAUUAAGUUGGGCACUCUAGGUUGACUGCCGGUGACAAACCGGAGGAAGGUGGGGAUGACGUCAAAUCAUCAUGCCCCUUAUGAUUUGGGCUACACACGUGCUACAAUGGACAAUACAAAGGGCAGCUAAACCGCGAGGUCAUGCAAAUCCCAUAAAGUUGUUCUCAGUUCGGAUUGUAGUCUGCAACUCGACUACAUGAAGCUGGAAUCGCUAGUAAUCGUAGAUCAGCAUGCUACGGUGAAUACGUUCCCGGGUCU